AUUGAACGCUGGCGGCAGGCCUAACACAUGCAAGUCGGACGGUAGCACAGAGGAGCUUGCUCCUCGGGUGACGAGUGGCGGACGGGUGAGUAAUGUCUGGGGAUCUGCCCGAUAGAGGGGGAUAAACACUGGAAACGGUGGCUAAUACCGCAUAACGACGCAAGACCAAAGCGGGUGACGUUCGGGCUUCCCACGCUCGGAUGAACCCAGAUGGGAUUAGCUAGCAGGCGGGGUAACGGCCCACCUAGGCGACGAUCCCUAGCUGGUCUGAGAGGAUGACCAGCCACACUGGAACUGAGACACGGUCCAGACUCCUACGGGAGGCAGCAGUGGGGAAUAUUGCACAAUGGGCGCAAGCCUGAUGCAGCCAUGCCGCGUGUAUGAAGAAGGCCUUCGGGUUGUAAAGUACUUUCAGCGGGGAGGAAGGCGAUGUGGUUAAUAACCGCAUUGAUUGACGUUACCCGCAGAAGAAGCACCGGCUAACUCCGUGCCAGCAGCCGCGGUAA
rnacentral:rRNA from 1 species